rnacentral:rRNA from 1 species
GUGGGGAAUAUUGCACAAUGGGCGAAAGCCUGAUGCAGCAACGCCGCGUGAGGGACGACGGCCUUCGGGUUGUAAACCUCUUUUAGUAGGGAAGAAGUGAAAGUGACGGUACCUGCAGAAAAAGCACCGGCUAACUACGUGCCAGCAGCCGCGGUAAUACGUAGGGUGCAAGCGUUAUCCGGAAUUAUUGGGCGUAAAGAGCUCGUAGGCGGUCUGUCGCGUCUGCUGUGAAAACUGGAGGCUCAACCUCCAGCCUGCAGUGGGUACGGGCAGACUAGAGUGCGGUAGGGGGGAUUGGAAUUCCUGGUGUAGCGGUGGAAUGCGCCGAUAUCAGGAGGAACACCGAUGGCGAAGGCAGAUCUCUGGGCCGUAACUGACGCUGAGGAGCGAAAGCGUGGGGAGCGAACAGGAUUAGAUACCCCAGUAGUCC